AUAUAAUGUUUAAUUUCUUUAUUUCUAUCAAAUAUAAAACUUAGAUUACUUGAAUUCUUAACUAUUUUUCUGUGAGUCUCUUUGCUGAGAAAGUCCCACACCAAUCAAAUAAGUUUGGUUUUCUUCUCUUAAGUUCAAACCCCUUUCAUAUAUAAAAUUACAAAGCCAGCUUCAUCUAACCCAAGUCUGAAAGUCUCUUUCUUGAAUACCACCC
rnacentral:lncRNA from 1 species